GACGAACGCUGGCGGCGUGCCUAAUACAUGCAAGUUGAGCGCUGAAGGUUGGUACUUGUACCAACUGGAUGAGCAGCGAACGGGUGAGUAACGCGUGGGGAAUCUGCCUUUGAGCGGGGGACAACAUUUGGAAACGAAUGCUAAUACCGCAUAAAAACUUUAAACACAAGUUUUAAGUUUGAAAGAUGCAAUUGCAUCACUCAAAGAUGAUCCCGCGUUGUAUUAGCUAGUUGGUGAGGUAAAGGCUCACCAAGGCGAUGAUACAUAGCCGACCUGAGAGGGUGAUCGGCCACAUUGGGAUUGAGACACGGCCCAAACUCCUACGGGAGGCAGCAGUAGGGAAUCUUCGGCAAUGGACGAAAGUCUGACCGAGCAACGCCGCGUGAGUGAAGAAGGUUUUCGGAUCGUAAAACUCUGUCGGUAGAGAAGAACGUUGGUGAGAGUGGAAAGCUCAUCAAGUGACGGUAACUACCCAGAAAGGGACGGCUAACUACGUG
rnacentral:rRNA from 1 species